rnacentral:rRNA from 1 species
GACGAACGCUGGCGGCGCGCCUAAUACAUGCAAGUCGAGCGGGGAGGCGGGCGGAAGCCUUUGGGUGGACGUCCGUCUCUUAGCGGCGGACGGGUGAGGAACACGUAGGCAACCUGUCCUAAAGACCGGGAUAACACCGGGAAACCGGUGCUAAUACCGGAUAGAUUGUCCUGGCGCAUGCUGGGGCAAGGAAAGGGGCGACCCGCUUUAGGAGGGGCCUGCGGCGCAUUAGCUGGUUGGUGGGGUAACGGCCUACCAAGGCGAUGAUGCGUAGGCGGCCUGGGAGGGUGACCGGCCACACUGGGACUGAGACACGGCCCAGACUCCUACGGGAGGCAGCAGUAGGGAAUCUUCCGCAAUGGGCGGAAGCCUGACGGAGCGACGCCGCGUGGGGGAGGAAGGCCUUCGGGUUGUAAACCCCUGUUGUCGGGGAAGAAGGGCUGCGUGAGCGGCAUUGACGGUACCCGACGAGGAAGCCCCGGCUAACUACGUGCCAGCAGCCGCCGUAA